UACGUAGGGGGCAAGCGUUGUCCGGAUUUAUUGGGCGUAAAGAGCUUGUAGGCGGUUUGUCGCGUCUGCCGUGAAAGCCCAGGGCUUAACCCUGGGUCUGCGGUGGGUACGGGCAGACUAGAGUGUGGUAGGGGAGACUGGAAUUCCUGGUGUAGCGGUGAAAUGCGCAGAUAUCAGGAGGAACACCGAUGGCGAAGGCAGGUCUCUGGGCCACUACUGACGCUGAGACGCGAAAGCGUGGGGAGCGAACAGG
rnacentral:rRNA from 1 species